rnacentral:lncRNA from 1 species
CUCUUGGCCAGGUUCCUCUCUAAACUGUCACUCCCAUCUGUGGUGUUGCCUGCUCUGGGCAGGGGAUGCUAAGAGUUCAUCACUGCACAGGAUUCCUGGAGGCCUGCAAGAGAACAGACCGUGCCUGGACGCACCAGUGAGCCAUAUUUCCAAAUCGCUGCAGUGCUGGGUGCUUGGAGGACAGGCCAGAGCCUUGGAGUCCUGGACUGGUUUUCAAGUUUUAAAGCGGGCACCUGUGGAGUGAUGGAUGGGGAAAGGUCUCACUUAAAAGGAGCACAGUUGACUUCAGCCUUAGAGUAGGCUGGGCAGUAUUUUGUCCCUCACAGAUGGACAGCGGUGAGUGGCCAGGCUCUCACAUGCCUAGUUCAGGAGCAGCAGCCAAGUUCUCUCAUUUUUAAGUCGAACCAGCCUCCAGAUUCGUCAGACUGCCUCUUCCCCAGAGGGUUGGGGAAACAGAAGCAACUGCCUACAGCAAAUAUGCUGCGGCUUCCUCCACAGACACAGCGUUCCAGGAGUGCAUGGCUCCAUGGAAACCGAGAGGAGAGAGUGUGUACAUGGUGUUUCUUCUAGGUCUACUCCAGUUCUCAUGAGAAGCCGAGGAGCCCCUGCAUAUUUUAUGAUUCCUGCUUUUCUCUGGGAGCAGCUGCUCUUUUGAUGCACAUUUACCGAGCACCUCUUUCUUACCAAGCCCUGUUCUAGGCCGGGGGAUACCCAAGAAGCAAGCCAGAUGUUGUUCCAGUCCUCAGCAGAAGCAGAAAGCUUGCUUAAAAUGAUGACUCCUAGAGCUAGUUAGUUCUAUGACUAAUUCUAAGAAUGCCCUAGUAAAUAUUUAUUUUAAUAAACAAAUGUUUAAA